GACGAACGCUGGCGGCGUGCCUAACACAUGCAAGUCGAACGGAAGUAAGUGCUUCGGUAUUUACUUUAGUGGCGAACGGGCGAGUAACGCGUGAGGAACCUGCCUCACACUGGGGGAUAACAGUCAGAAAUGACUGCUAAUACCGCAUAAGCGCACAGCAUCGCAUGAUGCAGUGUGAAAAGCUCCGGUGGUGUGAGAUGGACCCGCGUUGGAUUAGCUAGUUGGCAGGGCAGCGGCCUACCAAGGCGACGAUCCAUAGCCGGCCUGAGAGGGUGAACGGCCACAUUGGGACUGAGACACGGCCCAG
rnacentral:rRNA from 1 species